AUUAAAUUCAUUUUUUAUACUUGCAGUUCAGGCGAGUAAUCUGCUAAAAGAAAAUGCUCCUAUAAUACCAAAGAAAAAUGUCCAGGAGAUUUUAGCAAAUAUACUUCCUGAUGAAUUUGUUCCUGAAAGACCAAACAGCCCUGAGCCAUCAACUCCAAUGCAAGUUGAUUAAUCAACCAACACAGAUGAAGACGAAAGACUUCUAAAAACACAAGUCGAACUUAAGGAGUUGCAAUUAAAACAUAAUAAGGUCCUAACCGAAAAUUAUGUUAUACAAAAAGAAAUGGAUGCCUUUAGCUAAAUAUUUACGCCGGGGCAAAGGAAAAAGCUGCAAAGGGCCAAGCGUGUUAAGUGGAUUAUAGAGGAUGUUUCCCAAGCAAUUGCUAUUUACGCAAGUGGCCCAAAAGCCUAUAGGCUUCUUCUUAAAAAAAAGUAUCCACUUCCUGCCGUAUCAACUUUAAGAUCUUGGGCAGGAAAAAUUGACAAAAGUCAAACAUUUUUGGUGAAAGGGUGUUUUUUUCGAAGAGACAGUAAAAUCUGCAAUUGGUCCCAAAAUGCCAAUGAUUCAUUUUAUGUAUGGUUUUGAUGACAAAUUAAACAUUUAUAGAUACGUUCUUACACGUUUUACACGAAUCAUUGGUUUUUUGGGACCAAUUGCACAUUUGACUGUCUCUUCGAAAAAAAAAACACCCUCCCACCAAAAAUUUUUUUUAUGAAAACUCUUUAUUCUGGCUUUCUUU